rnacentral:piRNA from 1 species
UGCUGUUAGGUUGGUGCAAACGUAAU